GAAAGCAGGCGAGGUGAUCGCAGUUGCCGCUGCUUGCAGUGGUGGCUGAGGAAAGUCCGGGCUCCCGAAUGGCCAGGCUUGCUGGGUAACGCCCAGUGCGGGUGACCGUGAGGAGAGUGCCACAGAAACACACCGCCGAUGGCCGGCUUGCCGGCACAGGCAAGGGUGCAAGGGUGCGGUAAGAGCGCACCAGCAGCAUCGAGAGGUGCUGGCUCGGUAAACCCCGGCCGGGAGCAAGGCCCAGGGACGAUGGUUGGCCAUUGACCGGUCCCGACAACAGCGCGCCGCUCGAGGCCACCGGUAACGGUGGUCCCAGACAGAUGAUCAUCCAGCGAACAGAACCCGGCUUACGUCCUGCUUUCCGCC
rfam:Synechococcus sp. RCC307 genomic DNA sequence.